rnacentral:rRNA from 1 species
AGGUGCGAUCAUACCAGCACUAAUGCACCGGAUCCCAUCAGAACUCCGCAGUUAAGCGUGCUUGGGCGUGAGUAGUACUAGAAUGGGUGACGUCCUGGGAUGUCCUCGUGUUGCACCUC